GACGAACGCUGGCGGCGUGCUUAACACAUGCAAGUCGAACGGAAAGGCCCUGCUUUUGUGGGUUGCUCGAGUGGCGAACGGGUGAGUAACACGUGAGUAACCUGCCCUUGACUUUGGGAUAACUUCAGGAAACUGGGGCUAAUACCGGAUAGGAGCUCCUGCUGCAUGGUGGGGGUUGGAAAGUUUCGGCGGUUGGGGAUGGACUCGCGGCUUAUCAGCUUGUUGGUGGGGUAGUGGCUUACCAAGGCUUUGACGGGUAGCCGGCCUGAGAGGGUGACCGGCCACAUUGGGACUGAGAUACGGCCCAGACUGCUACGGGAGGCAGCAGUGGGGAAUAUGGCACAAUGGGCGGAAGCCUGAUGCAGCAACGCCGCGUGCGGGAUGACGGCCUUCGGGUUGUAAACCGCUUUCGCCUGUGACGAAGCGUGAGUGACGGUAAUGGGUAAAGAAGCACCGGCUAACUACGUG
rnacentral:rRNA from 1 species